UUUUGUGCGACUUCUGAUCGAGUCAAAAUUUCACAAAAAACCCAAGACUAUAGUCUUGGGUUUUUUGUGAAUUUUGACUCGAUCAGAAGUCGCACAA
rnacentral:pre_miRNA from 1 species